AUUGAACGCUGGCGGCAUGCCUUACACAUGCAAGUCGAACGGCAGCACGGGAGCAAUCCUGGUGGCGAGUGGCGAACGGGUGAGUAAUGUAUCGGAACGUGCCCAGUCGUGGGGGAUAACGUAGCGAAAGCUACGCUAAUACCGCAUACGAUCUGUGGAUGAAAGCGGGGGACCGUAAGGCCUCGCGCGAUUGGAGCGGCCGAUAUCAGAUUAGGGAGUUGGUGGGGUAAAGGCCUACCAAGCCGACGAUCUGUAGCUGGUUUGGGAGGACGGCCAGCCACACUGGGACUGAGACGCGGCCCAGACUCCUACGGGAGGCAGCAGUGGGGAAUUUUGGACAAUGGGCGCAAGCCUGAUCCAGCAAUGCCGCGUGCAGGAUGAAGGCCUUCGGGUUGUAAACUGCUUUUGUACGGAGCGAAAAGGCUCUCUCUAAUACAGGGGGCUCAUGACGGUACCGUAAGAAUAAGCACCGGCUAACUACGUGCCAGCCGCCGCGGUAAAAC
rnacentral:rRNA from 1 species